rnacentral:tRNA from 1 species
GAAAAAUUAGUUAAAUAUAUAACAUCAACCUGUCAAAUUGAAAUAACCAAUUUAGUGGUAUUUUUCA